rnacentral:lncRNA from 1 species
CUAUUUGGAAGCAAGCAACUCAUGAUAUUGUUCUAAUGUAUGUUGAAGUCAAUGAGGAAACAUCUGAUGAAAAAAAUAUAGGCCCAGUUUAAAGAGGACUUGAAUGCCAACUAAGUAGUUCAGACUUGAACUAAUGACGACAUUGGCAGCCGUUUUAGGUUUUUGGGCAAGUGAAUCAACUGGUUGCCACUAAGAACCUCUAUGAGCCAAAGUUUCCCAUCUGUUUCACAGGAGAUAAUGAGUGCCUCAUCUACUAAGUCGUGCUGUGAUCACAUUACUGAUGAUUGGGGAAGCCAGCUACCAUAUCAAACAGCUGUAUGAAGCCUUUGUGGUAAAGAACUGAGGCUCCUGAUAAGAGGCAGCAGGAACUGAGGCCCUUGCCAAAAGUCAUUGGAUUGAGCCAUCUUGGAAGCAGAUCUUCUAUCCCUAAUCAACACUUCAGAUGACUGCAGCCCUGGAGGCCAGAUUAACUGCAACCUCAAGAAAGUCCCUAAGCCAGGACCAGCCAGCCAAGCUACUCCUAUAUUCCUUGACCCUCAGAAAUUGUGUGAGAUAAUGAACACUUCUUGUUUUAAGUUGCUAAGAGU